UAGGGAACAUAUCUAAAUUGCUUUUAUGUGCUAAAUGAUUUGUGAUACUUUAUGAUGUUAUUGUUUGAUUGGAUCUAUGGUCUGUUGCCGACUGGAUCAGAAACUUUACGUGUUCAGAACUUCAGAUUUCUAAACGUUUAAUUACAAUAUUAGAACUGGCAUGUAGUUUUUCAAAGUAAUAAGGAGGAAUACGCGUCUAAACCUUCAUCUAUCUAUAUCCUCGUCUCGAUACACCAAACGACUGCUUUGGUGUGCAGAACAUCAUCGUGAAGACUCGUAUUGAGUACAUGGAGGAAAUGAGAAGGCUUACGAUACUGAAUGGUACAUAUCGUAAGAUAUAAUGAGAGCAAUAUCUUUCCUUUAGAAUACGUUUAAAUAGGUAAUACGUCUGUAUGGGAGAAGUACACUUUCGAUUGGCGAAAAGAAAGAAUUUUUGGUAUAAUCCAUGAAGUUAUUAUUGGAUUAAUGUCUAAGUCAAUAACUGUAAUUGGUAAGACUUGACCCGACCCGGCAUGGUCCAUUUGGGUUGCAUGGCAUCAUGCAUUUGGAUAGACUAUAAUGAGAGAAAUGACACUUAAGGUUUGUUAAUAUAUCUUUCCUUUAGAAUACGUUUAAAUAGGUAAUACGUCUGUAUGGGAGAAGUACACUUUCGAUUGGCGAAAAGAAAGAAUUUUUGGUAUAAUCCAUGAAGUUAUUAUUGGAUUAAUGUCUAAGUCAAUAACUGUAAUUG
rnacentral:lncRNA from 1 species